GACCUAGGGGUGAAAGAUGCUUUCUGUUUGUUGUUAUCUUCAUUCUGAUUCUCUUUUGAAGAUUUGUAUCUGAUUAGGUUGUUUAACAACUUCUAACUUCGAUGGUUUAGAAAAUUGUUGUUCUGACCUUUAUUGUACAUAUCUAAAAUUAUUUCAAAUGAUUGAAGAUUUUUUGAAGAUAAAUGAUUACCUCAUUACUUACCAUUCAAAAUAAUUGAUGAACAAAUAAAACUUAAGGUAGGAUCUAUGUUCGUGAUUCAUCUAUUUUAAGUGUUGCAAAAAAAAGACAUGUUUUCUAACUGGGAACAAUCAAGUGGUAGACUUGCAUGCGGAUCAUACUGGUGCUUAGCUGCUUAUUCUGGCUUGAUAUGGAUUAAUCCAAAUAGAUCUUGUGUCUAAGAUUUGAACCCAGGUGCAACCGGCUAACCUGAAAGCUUGGACUCUAGGCUCAAUGUGGGGCCUAUGUAAAUAUUGAAUAUCCUGCUGGAUUCAAAAUAGGGGACUGCAUGGGAGG
rnacentral:lncRNA from 1 species